AGGCUGUCGGGGAAGGAAGUGACUUGGAAGCCUUAGAGCUCGGGCAGGGAGGGACUGCAGCAGUUUUCCUUCCCCUGUGACACCACUUGCACCCAGGAUUUUCCUUGGGUACCUGGUUUUGGGUACAUUUGUGCGAUUAUGCAUUGAAUGAACCCACUCAAAACUCUGCAACCUGUUACUCCACUGACCUGACAUGAGAACGCAUUAAUGGCUACCAUGUAUGAAUAAUACCACAUGCAAGGAGUAUUCUCAGCCCACCUUGCUGAAGCCAAUCCAGGGAUAAAAAUUUGAAACUGGAAAAUGCAACAUUGGCAGACUGAAAAUAAAAAAAAAAUAAC
rnacentral:lncRNA from 1 species